CCCACGAAAAAGCUGCAAGUUUACCGCUAAGAGCUAGGGACAUGCCCUAUAAUACAUGCAUAUAAUACAGGAACUGCCUAUAAUAUAUACAUGCAAUGUUUGCAAUUCGCAUUUAAACUGAAGACUUACACUGUCAAAGUUUCUGUGCAUGAUCACAGUAGGAAUUUUGCAUAGGUAAAUUCUAAGUUUUGAAAGAUUUGUAUGAAAUGUCAUUGAGGGUGCAUGUUAAACAGUGAGUCAGUAUCCUCAAACUUUUCUUACCAAUCCUUCAAAAUUUGGAAUUUACUUAUGCAAAAUUCCUACCUGUGAUCACAGAAAUUUUCAUAGUGUAAAUGAUCCCUUUAAACAUCACAUAGUUUUUACAAUAUGAUGAGAGUUCUGAGAUAUGAAUAUACAUUGUCUAUAAUACAGUAUAUGGUCUAUUAUCUACAGUGUGUAUGCAUGUAACCAUGGUAUGCUCCCAACUAGUACACAAUUCAAAACUAUAUUAUAUUCAUGUAUUCUAACUUCAACAAUACAUUCGUUUAAAUAGGUUAUUUUGCUGAUUAAUAAAAUAUCGUCUCUACUAUUGUUCAGUCUUUAUGGUGUCUAGUAUUUAAAUUAUUUCCUCAUAGAAUGCCAAUAAAAUUUAUUCUCCUAAACUUGGACUGUGCAUGAUCACUAAUAAAAAAUUAUUCUUCAUUUAAAUAUUCCAUUGGUAAUAAGUUACAGAAUUAGUUAAUAAGUUACGGAAUUUGAUAUUAGUAUUAUCAUACCAAGGUAUAUUAGUGCUGUUAGUGUCCAGUGAUAAAUCUUAAAAGGGGUACCUCCCUUCUGUUAAUGGUACCUUUAGUCACAGUUAAUAGAAUUUUAGUUAAUAAUGUCAGAAGACAAUACAUGGAUCAGGAAACCCGCAAAUCGUGGGAUUUUACCGCACCAACACACGCGAGGUUUUGCUAUUCCACGCGCGCGAACCGUCUAUUCACACGCGGGAUAUCGAUGGUGCAAUAAAUUGAGUAAAAUCACACGAUAUGCGGGAUUCGUGAUAUGCAUUGGUAGUCAUUUUUUACUUUUUAGUUUCGCGCAGAUUAACUCCAAACCGUUUUCCACAGGAAUUUUUGAAUUUCUCGGUUGAUCGCAGUUCAGAACAGAAUCUUAUCCAGCGGAAAUGAAGUAAAUAUAGACAUCGCGAAUUGAGCCCACGAGUACAGUGAGAUCUUAACCAGCGGCAAUUCACAAAAAUACGGACAAUCAGAUAGGAUAUAUCCUGGGCCUAGGUGAGCCCACACACACAACACAAUAUAACCAGCGGUAAUAAAGAUAAAUAUGGCCAACCUUAUUAAUCGUAGAAUGAUACGACCUCGGGCGCGACAUCCUCUUCUUGUAAACGUUGUAGCAAUGGUUGAUAUAUUUUACGAUCUGUUGGAAGAACAAGGCCUUUGCUCUUAAUGUCACC